GGAGGGGUGCCAGAGUGGCUGAAUGGGACGGAUUGCUAAUCCGUUAUGCGGGUUAAACCGCAUCGAGGGUUCGAAUCCCUCUCCCUCCGCCA
rnacentral:tRNA from 2 species